rnacentral:rRNA from 1 species
GACGGAGGAUGCAAGCGUUAUCCGGAAUUAUUGGGCGUAAAGCGUCCGCAGGUGGACAUACAAGUCUGCUGUCAAAGUGCAGAGCUUAACUCUGUAAAGGCGGUGGAAACUGUAGGUCUUGAGUAUGGUAGGGGUAGAGGGAAUUCCCGGUGUAGCGGUGAGAUGCGUAGAGAUCGGGAAGAACAUCGGUGGCGAAAGCGCUCUACUGGACGGUAUCUGACACUGAGGGACGAAAGCUAGGGGAGCGAAUGGG